rnacentral:misc_RNA from 1 species
UUGUAACAAUGGAGGUGCGAGGGCUGUCGCUGACCUUUUAUGGUUGUGCACGCCUGAGUGCUUUUAAACAAUCCAUCUUCACCCCCCUUUGUGCAUCACCGCGUGGGUCCCCUUUGCCGGAGGGCUUGCGUUUUCACAUAAAACUUUGACAUGGUGUAGAAUGUCCUUUUGCGCUCACACGCAAUCAAUA